UACGGGGGGAGCAAGCGUUGUUCGGAUUUACUGGGCGUAAAGGGCGCGUAGGCGGCGUGACAAGUCACUUGUGAAAUCUCCGGGCUUAACUCGGAACGGUCAAGUGAUACUGUCGGGCUAGAGUACAGAAGGGGCAACUGGAAUUCUCGGUGUAGCGGUGAAAUGCGUAGAUAUCGAGAGGAACACCUGCGGCGAAGGCGGGUUGCUGGGCUGAUACUGACGCUGAUGCGCGAAAGCCAGGGGAGCGAACGGG
rnacentral:rRNA from 1 species